rfam:Trichobilharzia regenti genome assembly, scaffold: TRE_scaffold0052720
GUACUGCUGAAGAAUCCCAAACUGGGACGAAACAGCUGUCCAGUAC